UCGCACCUACCGAUUGGAUGGUCCGGUGAGAAUUUCGGACUUCUGUUUCAUUUCUUUCAUUAGAAAUAAACUUGGAGGAAGUUAUUCAAACCUUACCAUCUAGAGGAAGGUG
rnacentral:rRNA from 1 species